rnacentral:rRNA from 1 species
GAUGAACGCUGGCGGCGUGCCUAAUACAUGCAAGUCGAGCGAACAGACGAGGAGCUUGCUCCUCUGACGUUAGCGGCGGACGGGUGAGUAACACGUGGAUAACCUACCUAUAAGACUGGGAUAACUUCGGGAAACCGGAGCUAAUACCGGAUAAUAUAUUGAACCGCAUGGUUCAAUAGUGAAAUACGGUUUUGCUGUCACUUAUAGAUGGAUCCGCGCCGCAUUAGCUAGUUGGUAAGGUAACGGCUUACCAAGGCGACGAUGCGUAGCCGACGUGAGAGGGUGAUCGGCCACACUGGAACUGAGACACGGUCCAGACUCCUACGGGAGGCAGCAGUAGGGAAUCUUCCGCAAUGGGCGAAAGCCUGACGGAGCAACGCCGCGUGAGUGAUGAAGGUCUUCGGAUCGUAAAACUCUGUUAUUAGGGAAGAACAAAUGUGUAAGUAACUAUGCACGUCUUGACGGUACCUAAUCAGAAAGCCACGGCUAACUACGUG